AUUGAACGCUGGCGGCAGGCCUAACACAUGCAAGUCGAACGAGUGGCGGACGGGUGAGUAAUGUCUGGGCAACUGCCUGAUGGAGGGGGAUAACUACUGGAAACGGUAGCUAAUACCGCAUACCAUCAGAUGUGCCCAGAUGGGAUUAGCUAGUUGGGGGGGUAACGGCUCACCAGGGCGACGAUCCCUAGCUGGUCUGAGAGGAUGACCAGCCAAACUGGAACUGAGAAACGGCCCAGACUCCUACGGGAGGCAGCAGUGGGGAAUAUUGCACAAUGGGCGAAAGCCUGAUGCAGCAAUGCGGCGUGUAUGAAGAAGGCCUUCGGGUUGUAAAGUACUUUCAGCGGGGAGGCGUUACCCGAAGAAGAAGCACCGGCUAACUACGUGCCAGCAGCCGCGGUAAUUC
rnacentral:rRNA from 1 species